CCAGACUCACUUCCUGUUCCUUGUUCUGAACACUGACUGCUGAUACAACGUGACAAGCUGGCCUGGUGUGAUAGACUGUAUCUCUAUGGAACGAUUGGUGAAUCCAGAAGAAUGGCCACAAUCAUCAUAUGCAGCAGACCUACAAGGAAGAAGAGGAGGAAGAAGGAGGAGGAGGAGGAGGAAGAGGUGGAGGAGGAGGAGGAGGAAGAGAAAAAAAAUCAAUCCAAAGCAAUGAUCAGAUAAUGUUGAAACUGAAUUUCUCUGAAUAAUUCACCUUAGAGCAUCAGAAAAAAAUCUAGAAAAUAUAUCUAUUAAAUACAAUCAGUACUUGAGAUUACUAUGUUUAUUAUCCAGCAGAUUUAACCAUGGAAACUGAGAUAUUUUGUGUGUGGUAUGCAUGCACCUGCAUGUAAAGGCCUAAGGCUGAUGCUCAGAGUCCUCACCAAUGGCUUUCCACUUUAUUAAUCAAGGUAGGGCUUCUCAAUUGAUCCCUGAGCUGACCAGUGGCUAAUCAGCCAUCUUACUCUGGGGAUCCUCUGUUCUCCUUCAGAGUUUUGAAAUCACAAGUGGCCAGGGCUAUGAGGAUCUGAGCUCUGCCCCUCAUGGUGUGGCAGCUGCUGUAAUUACAGAGCUAUCUCCUCAACCCAAAAGCUUAGGUUUUUUUUUGUUUUUUGGGUUUUUUUUUUUGAUGGAUUUUUCACUUUAUAAAGGGUAAAGCAUUUCUUUCAAAUAAUUUUCAGAAAUAAAGCAUAAACAUUCCAUAUAUUUGUGUAAUAUACAUAUUAUACAUGUUAUGUUUAUGACACAUGCCCCUUCCCCAUCUCUCUUUUAAAUUAGAGCAUGUAAAAUAUGUUAUUUCAUUAAUAUUAGGUUUCACCUGAAUUCUUCAAUUGGAUGCUAGUUAUAGUGAGAAUCAUAAUGAAAUAGUUAAGCAGAAAAAAACUCCAGAAUUCAUUGCCUUUAUACUUGAUUUGUUCUAUGAACAUUAAACUCCUAGAAUGGCUGGGUAGGUAUUCAGCGCAGUGUUGAGAACAAAACAUUAAUACAAUACAGGAGAGUUCGGCUGUUACAGAAUCCACACUUAAGUAUAAGACAUGGCAAAUACACACAAAUUAUGCCAAUUUAUCCUAAGUGCUAUGAAUACAAUGUGUAAAGUACUAGUAAAGAAGGUAUGAUUUAAGAUGA